CCCGGCGCCCCUUCCCUCCCCUCAGGAGCAGCGGGGAGGACCCUGCGCCGCGGCCCCGGGGCACAGCCGAGGGGCGGGAAUGCAGCCGCCGGAGCCGCAGCCGAGCCCCCAGCGCAGCACGAAAAUGCCAGAAGCCUCAGAAGACCAUAAUCACUGGAAAGCCUGUUGACUUCCAUUCUUUGGUAAUCUGGAACAUCAUCCAUCUGGCAUGGCGCAGGGCAGUCAACAACUUGACGUGCAGGUACUCCAUGACCUCCGGCAGCGUUUCCCUGAGAUACCCGAAGGGGUGGUAUCUCAGUGCAUGCUUCAGAACAACAACAACCUCGAUGCCUGUUGUCGAGCCCUUGCACAGGAGAGCAACAAAUACCUGUACAUGGAGUACCACAGCCCUGAUGACACCAGAAUGAACAGAAAUAGCCUUUUGCACAUUAAUCUGGGUAUUCAUCCUCAUACCAGCUAUCACGCGGGGGAUGGAGCUCAACUUAAUGGUGGUCGUACACUGGUACACAGCUCAAGCGAUGGACACAUUGACCCUCAGCGCACAGCAGGUAAACAGCUCAUCUGCUUAGUUCAAGAACCACAUUCUGCUCCCGCUGUUGUGGCAGCUUCUCCUAGUUACAAUCCAUUUUUCAUGAAUGACCAGAAUAGAAAUGCAGCUACUCCUCCUCCACAGCCACCUCCACAGCCAUCUUCCAUACAACCAGGAAUGAACACGUCUGCUAUGCAAGGCCCUCCUCCCACGUAUAUGCACAUACCUCGGUACAGUACAAAUCCCAUUACUGUUACAGUAUCACAAAACCUCCCCUCUGGACAGAGCGUACCCAGAGCUCUACAAAUUCUUCCACAGAUUCCAAGCAAUCUUUAUGGGACUCCUGGCUCUAUUUAUAUAAGACAAACAUCUCAAAGUUCUUCAGGACGACAGACUCCUCAGAAUACACAGUGGCAUUCAUCGCCACAGGGCCCAGUUCCACAUUAUACUCCCCGUCCUCUACCUGUAUAUCCACAUCAACAGAACUACCAACCUUCUCAGUAUUCUCCGAAACAGCCCCAGAUCCCUCAGUCGGCUUUUCGAUCGCCACCGGCAUCCCAGUGUCCCUCUCCCUUUGGCUCUCCUCAGCACCAAGUUCAGCCUCCUCAGCUGAGUCAUCAGAGUUCACAUGUUUUCAUGCCUCCUAGCCCCUCAACUGUCCCACCCCAUCCAUAUCAGCAAGCAUCCCAGACUUUUCAGAAACAAGGCAGUCACUCUGUGUCGUACCUUCCUCCUUUUGCUGGACCUAGUUUAUCCAAAGGUUCCAUGAAUAAAAUAGAAAUUACAGUUGAGCCACCGCAAAGACCUGGGACUGCAAUGAACAGAAGCCCUUCACCAAUAAGUAAUCAACCAUCUCAACGAAACCAGCACCCACUGUAUGCACCCACUACUCCUCCUUCAAGCUCUCCGUCAAGAGGUAUGUCGGGGCAACCCAAACCUCCAUUUAGUGUUAAUCCAGUAUAUAUUACCUACACUCAACCAACUGGACCUGCAGGUGCCCCAACACAGUCUCCUCGGGUAAUGGUAUCUCAGCCAAACCCAACCAUUUUUAAAAUCACAGUAGGUCGAGCACCGACUGAGAAUCUUUUAAAUUUAGUGGACCAAGAAGAGCGUUCUGCAGCACCAGAACCUAUUCAGCCUAUUUCUGUAAUCCCAGGAUCUGGAGGAGAAAAAGGAAGCCAUAAAUAUCAGAGAAGUUCUAGUUCUGGAUCGGAUGACUAUGCUUACACUCAAGCCUUGCUGUUACAUCAACGAGCAAGGAUGGAGAGAUUAGCAAAGGAGCUGAAGAUGGAGAAAGAAGAGCUCGAACGCCUGAAAACCGAAGUCAAUGGUAUGGAGCAUGAUCUAAUGCAGAGGCGGCUUCGAAGAGUGAGCUGUACAACUGCAAUUCCAACAGUAAGCAAUUUCCUGAGGAAAUGACCAGAUUGAGAAGCCUCAACAGACAACUCCAAAUAAAUGUUGACUGUACACUGAAAGAAGUUGAUCUCCUUCAGUCUAGAGGAAACUUUGAUCCGAAAGCUACGUGUAACUUCUAUGAUAACAUAGAGCCUGGUCCCGUUGUGCCACCAAAGCCAUAUAAAAAGGAGCAUCAAAAUAGCUCCAAACAGACUCCACGGACUCAGCCAAGAGAUGAAGACUUUGAAGGGGCUCCAUGGAAUUGUGGUAGCUGCACCUUUCUAAAUCACCCAGCACUGAAUCGCUGUGAACAGUGUGAGAUGCCACGAUACACCUGAAAUUCAGGAAGGGGCUGCAUUGGGUUGAAAACAGGCUCUCAAGCCGACAGCUGUAGGAGAAGGAAACAUGGGGAACCUUUCAGUCCAUCUGCCCGGCCUUUGCCAGUCAACAAUCUUUAUAUUGCAAGGGGUGGGAGUAAUGUGUUAAGAUGUUUCUGCUUCUGCUACACUAAAAGAUAAAUAAAGGGUGAAAUUCUUUCCCAUUGCAGUGAGCGGAGCAGAAAAUGAAACCUGAAAAUGUACAAGGAUUAAUUUUGAGAAGAAUGUAUGCAGGAAAGCAAAUAACUACUGGUUUUUAGUCCUGUGGUUAUAGUUACUGCUUAGUGGCUCUAAAAAAAAAAACAACCCAAAACUACUGUUUUUUUAAAAAAAAUUAUAGGACUCUUAGUAAUGGUGUGAAGUGUUACACUUAACCAGAAAAACUGAAGAGCCAGAGCUGACUUAUCCUGGCCCCAGCUAGCUGGAAAACAAAGGCUCCCUGUGCUUCUAGAUUGUAAGCUACUGAAAAAGAAGACAGGUAAAUGCAACGAUAAAAUUUGCAAUGUUUAAACAAACAAACAAAAAAAAAACAAGGAGAAGGGUAUUUGUAAUUGCUGCUUUUUUUCAGGGUAACUUAUGUCUACAAAAAAUUGCUGUUUGAAAUAGUAACCUGAGGUGACUAAAUGAGAAACUGUAUGAGUGUUACAGAGAGUUUAAUCAGAGGUAAUUUUUUACAAUCCUGUUUGCUUGUACAGUGCUCACCUGGCUGUGUCAACACUGGUAAUAAACCAAGAAUGAAUUCUACCACAUUACAGAUGAAAAUACUGCUGCAUGCUUUCAUUGGGCCGUCGUGUUUCAAAGCUAAAAGUAUGCUUUUAUAUACAACAAUCUUCUAAGCCUGUGCUGUGUAACAGCACGGGGACAUAUGCCAAACACAUGCUACCCCAAAUUCUGUUUGCAAGACUUGAGCUCAGCCAUGGUUGUGUAUGAGAAGAGUUUGUACCUGAGAGUUCCUUAGGCCUUUUCAGCCUCCAAUUUGUGAAGAAUUCAUGAUGUUUACAGCACAGAAGGUACUUUGUGCCCCAGAUCAAAGUUAGCUGAAAAAUAAUUAAUCAGCUCUUCAGAAAAGAUUUAUUUGCACAUUGGUAAUAAACCAGCCUGUACAAAAUAGCAGAUGCCAGAUCCUGAAAAAUUACACACUGCAUUCUCUUUACUGUGGUCAGGAAAUACUUGUCGUAGGUUGAAGAACAUGAGACUUGCAACUGAAAAUCAUAUUGGUACUUUUCUGCAUAUGAUAUACUGUAUUAUAAAGGUGAUGUUCAAUCUGUUUGAAUGCUUCAGGUUGCUGUAAUAAAACACUCGAUACUUGUGAACUCGAACUUGGGUUUGGGCAGCUGAAUGACUGUGACACAACUGUGUGACUGAGUGGGAUGUUCCUGUGUACUGGUCAGAGACUGGUACAGUGCAUUUGAGUUUUUAUGGUGUAACUUCAUCACAAUUCAGACGUGACCAAGCACCUCAGCUGAGUUAUGGUAAUUGACUUUCUGACCGUAAGGCAAAGUUUGCCAGCUAAACCUUGCCAGGGCAGUUUUAAAUUACUACCUUUUAAGCUGUUCUUAGUUCAUGGCAGCCACAUCCAUAUGGUCAAUUACCACAGUUCACUUGAUGUGUGAUAACAUGUUAAGCUGUGGUAGAACAAUCAUGUGUCUGAAUCCUUAUUUAAAAUAAAGCAGUAUUUGCCAAGGGGUGGGUGGAGAAAAACUCAUCUUGACUGCAUUGCUCAAUCUGGUGUCUUCUCUCCCCACAGUCUAUAAAAACAACAAUAAGAACCAAACUAUUGAUCUUAGAAGAGGAACCAAUAUUUUAUCUGGCAUUUUUCAAUGUGUUCUUGCACUAAUUAAAUCUUCAGGAUAAUUUUAAAUAAGCUAAGAGAGAUCCAGCAAUCAGUGUGCACCACUGAUGAGCAAAACAAAGUCAAAGGCAUCAGAGAUAGCUUUCCUUCCUUCCUAAUGAUUUGUAAUUCUGUGAGGGGAGCUCAUCACAUGUAGAAAGCAGUAAAAAAAUUACUGUCAAAUGAAAUCAGAAGGCAGAUACCAAUUUUGUGCAUGUCAGUGGGCAGUCUGACAAAACUGAGAUAACUAGAAAACAGAUGAGCCAGAAGCAUUGCUAUUAUCAGCUGUAUAAUGAAUUACCCAAAACAAUACCAGUAACUUCAUGACUUUUCUAUUCUGAUGCCUUUGCCUUUGUAUUAUUUCAAUUUUAUGUUCAUUUGUACUUCUGUUGAAGUUCUAGAACCAUUUGUUUUUGCUGGAAUUACAAAAAGAUAGCAACUGAAGUGACAGUCAGCAAAUGAGAGUAGGUGCGUCAAGCAAAAAUAUAGUUGUGCCAUUUUCAGACAGAAUAGAUGCUACUUUUGAAGGGGGGGGGCUGUGAAAAUAUACCUCCAGUCCACUAAUUGCCUAAGCUGCAAUAACCAUAUGUGGAGACUUGCAAAUCUUAGUCCAGCUUCACCAGAGGAAGAGAAGGAAGGGCUGCCACAACAGCAAGAUAUUUUUUGGAAGAGUGACCAAGUACUGCGAAAUUGAAAAAGAAUUCCUUUGUACCAAUAAUUUUACCCCAGUUUUUCAAUUACUCUCAUUUGUUGCUUGUACAAAAAAAAGAAGAAAAAAACAACACCCACACCUCUCAGUUGUAUUCUUUUACUUGUAAAUGCCCAUGCUCAAACAUGAAUAGUAGACUUUACAUGGUGCUUCAAUAUUGCUGGUUUGUUAGAAUGUAAAUUGUAUUUUGAAUAUGGGAAGAUCCAUUUUCCUUCUGAAAGCAGGUGAUGCCAUUCACAUCCCAACUGAAUUGUAGAUUAUACCAAAAAGAUUGGUUUAUGUAAUAUUUAUUGAAUGCACAUAAAACCCUAGUGUCAGCUGGCAUACAAAAUGCACUGUAUUGUAUACAACCUGUGUGUGUGUGAGAAUGGUGGGAUGCUGAUGCUGUUGUGUUGAGUUAAUGCACUACUUGUGUUUUCUUUUUUCCUUAAUGACUGAGCUUUCCCUCAACCAUGCUACUAGAUUGGUAGAGUUUGUAACUGACUUGGACAUUCAGUUAUUCAAAAUGAUCUCACUGUUCAUUGAAAUUUUAUAAAGCUUAUUUUAUAUUUACUGUGCUAUUAAGAUGAAUUCCCUUUAAUUAUAGGAUACUACUGUAGUUCUUUAAAAGUUUAUUUAGAGUGGGGCUUGUGGAAAACUAUUCAGAACAUAGUAAACCAAAAGAAAUCCUGAACUUUGGAUCUGCUUUUCAUUUGAUGUAAUUAUUAGUCUUGUUUGGGUGAAGAGGAAAGGGGUGGGAAGUCAAGCAAAAGGAAGUACUUUGUAAAAUGUAGUCUUAGAUCAGAUUGAAUUGUGUAUCUGUGUGUCUGUGGUAUGUGUGUGUUUCCCUUGAAAAAUGGGAGGUGUGGUGAAAAGGUGUAAUAAUUCUUAAAAGAGCUGGUCUCAGUACUUUCUGAUUAUGAUAUGCUACUGAAUCACAUUUUUU